UACGAAGGGGGCUAGCGUUGUUCGGAAUUACUGGGCGUAAAGCGUGCGCAGGCGGUUCGCUAAGACAGAUGUGAAAUCCCCGGGCUUAACCUGGGAACUGCAUUUGUGACUGGCGGGCUAGAGUAUGGCAGAGGGGGGUAGAAUUCCACGUGUAGCAGUGAAAUGCGUAGAGAUGUGGAGGAAUACCGAUGGCGAAGGCAGCCCCCUGGGCUGACACUGACGCUCAUGCACGAAAGCGUGGGGAGCAAACAGG
rnacentral:rRNA from 1 species